UUGCUUUGGCUGCACAUUUACUACAACUGGAACGAUACAGAGAUUAGCAUGGCCCCUGUGCAAGGAUGACAUGCAAAUUCGUGAAGUGUUCCAUAAUUUU
ensembl:snRNA U6 U6 spliceosomal RNA